rnacentral:sRNA from 1 species
CCAUAUCAACCAUCAGCCAUUCCUAGAGAGAGGUGAUGGGCCUAUUUGUUUGGUGCUGGCACCAACUCGGGAACUGGCCCAACAGGUGCAGCAAGUAGCUGCUGAAUAUUGUAGAGCAUGUCGCUUGAAGUCUACUUGUAUCUACGGUGGUGCUCCUAAGGGACCACAAAUACGUGAUUUGGAGAGAGGUGUGGAAAUCUGUAUUGCAACACCUGGAAGACUGAUUGACUUUUUAGAGUGUGGAAAAACCAAUCUGAGAAGAACAACCUACCUUGUCCUUGAUGAAGCAGAUAGAAUGCUUGAUAUGGGCUUUGAACCCCAAAUAAGGAAGAUUGUGGAUCAAAUAAGAGUAAGUGUCCUUUGAAAUAUGUGACCAAACUGAAUUCUGUUUUCACUCUUAAGAGUCUGAUACUAAUUUUUCCCCCCAAAAUCCAUUAGCCUGAUAGGCAAACUCUAAUGUGGAGUGCGACUUGGCCAAAAGAAGUAAGACAGCUUGCUGAAGAUUUCCUGAAAGACUAUAUUCAUAUAAACAUUGGUGCACUUGAACUGAGUGCAAACCACAACAUUCUUCAGAUUGUGGAUGUGUGUCAUGACGUAGAAAAGGAUGAAAAGUAAGUUUUAUUAACUCUGUUAUAUUUGCUUCCUAACAACUUUGCUGUAAAAUUGAGGGAUCAUUGUUUGGUGAGUUGUUUUAGGUUAUUUCAGUUGGUGUGAUUUCAUUUAGUUAGCCUACUAAUCCUGAAAAUUUCUUGAAUCCUUCAAAUAAUGGCUGUCACCAUUUAUAGCUUUCCUAUAGAAAGAAUUCAU